UGGUCUCGAGGUAGGGAUGUUACUUAACUACAAUAAAUUUCAUUGUUUAGCACAAACUGGUAUCCAAUUUAGGCCUCAUUUUAUUUUGGCGCACAAACUAACAGAUAACCGAAAUGCCAAAUAGUCGUGUAAUCCAUGCAAUUACUGCAUCUCUUUUGCUCGGCACGGCAGGAUGGGCCAUUAAGGAGCUUGAGCACAAAUUCACCAUCGGCCUCGCCUGGUACAUUCUGGUCUCCCUCCAUUCCAUAUGCCUGCUCAUUCUUUUUGUAACCGGCGCACACACAGAUCUGGGCAAGGCAAGAGACAUCACAUCAUGGCUUGCGGGCGCCUUGGGACUGCCUUUCCUGGCCGGAAACUUUCAUCUACACUUCACGGGCCAGUAUUGCGGCUACGGCCAUGCUUUAACUGCCUGUCCUCCAAUCCUCGCCUGGCUGGCCGGCUCCAUCCCCAACAGAAACCGUUUGACGGAGCUAGUGGUACUCAGCUCCAGCCUGUCCAUCGGCAUCCUCUGCUUCCUCCACGGCAACAUGUUCGGCAUCGCCGCCGCCGUCACCAUGCUGGCCCUCUCCGGCGUCAUCAACGUCAACCUCGCCGAACAGAUGAACCUGAACAGGGACGACAUGUUCAGGGUGGGGCUGUCGUUGUUCAACUAUCUGAUUUUAGCCGCCGUUCAGUUCAGAUGGUGAGUGUUGGUGCGCUAAACCCAGCUUCACACGUCUUCACAGCCAUUCAGUUGACACCUGGCACGUGGACUACGAUAACCCCUUGCUUCUCCCCCGUAUUCCGAUAGGACUUUCCCGUGUCAAAGCAGCCCAUCCGAGCCAGGUGUUUGUGACUACCGUGCAACAUAAGCUUUUCAAUAAACUGAACGCGCCAUUACAA